AUAUUUUUCCAUCAUUGCAUAACAUUUGUUUAAUAUAAGUUUGCUGAUGAUUUACCUAAUAAACAGAAUUAAAUGUAUAAAUUAAAGCCAAAUUGUAGUGAAAAAUGUGAAAACAAAGUCAGAUACAAUGGCGACGUGGGGGCUCUGGCAGACAGAAGAGACGAAACACUACAAAAUAAAACAAGUUUUAAAAAUUAACACCUAAAAUGUUGGUCGGACAGGAAGGGAACCAGGUGUGGAUCAAUCAGCUGAAUCAGAACAGGUGUGAGGCAAGAGGGGCAGGAAGUAGAACUGAGCAGAUUUCAAAAUAAAAUGAGAAGUUUUGAGCUCAGGAGGGCGGGCGACAUGCAUUCCUUUAAGAAACGCAGCUGAAUAAGUACAAAUAUGUUUUUGGUGUCACUGAAAUAUAGCGGGUUUAACUCUCRUGUUCUUCACAGGUGAAACUGGACCGGAGAGCAAGUCUCAGACCAGAUGAGACCCGUCCCACGCCAGGAUCUGAGUGUUUUCUAUAGGUAGGGGGGGUUCAGGAUGAAGUAGUGCGAUGACGUCUAACAUGUCUGAGGAGGAGGAUGUGAUCAACUGCACCAUCAGCCACGAAGUCCACCAGUACGUCUUCUCCUUCGUCUACAUCCUGGUCCUGUUGGUUGGCGUUCCCUCCAACCUGUACUCGCUGUACCACGCCGCUCUGCAGCUGAAGCAGAGGAACGAACUGGGAGUYUAUCUGAUGAACCUCACCGUGUCGGACCUCCUGUACCAGGCGUCCUUACCGCUSUGGCUGCAGUACAUCUUCCAGGAUGAUGACUGGCAACACAGAGAGUGGUUGUGUCAGCUGUGUGGUUUCCUGCUCUAUGAGAACAUUUACAUCAGCAUCGGCUUUCUGUGCUGCAUCAGUCUGGAUCGCUACUUGGCGGUGGUCCAUCCUCUAAGGUUUACGGCUCUGCGCUCGAUGACAGCAGCCUGGCUGGUCAGCGCCAUCAUCUGGCUGAAGGAGAUCGCCGUGGGAGUGGUUUUCUUUCGCCACAAGGAGCUGAGCAGAGACCGUACGAACCAGUCCGUCUGCUUUGAGCACUACCCCAUGCAGCCGUGGGAACAUCCGAUCAACUACUACCGCUUUGUUGUUGGCUUCUUGUUCCCACUGGUCAUCCUGUCGAUCAGCUACCUGUGCGUCCUUCGAGCGGUGGGUCGCAGCGCGGGAACUCAGCCGGAUCAGAAGGUGAGGAUCAGACAACUGGUCAGUAGCACCAUCCUCAUCUUCCUCGUCUGCUUCUCGCCAUACCACGUCUUCCUGCUGGUCCGCACGCUGCUGGAGCGGGACUGCGCUUUUAUAGAAGGAAUCUUUAACUACUACCACCUGUCGCUGAUGCUGACCACCCUGAACUGCGUGGCCGACCCGGCACUCUACUGCUUCGUCAGUGAGAGCGCCCGCCGCGGCCUCUACAGCGCCAUCGUCCAGCCCGUCACCAGGAUACUCUGCUGCUGCCGCCGCCGUGGGAGCGCCAGCCCCACAAACCCGGCCAACGACUCUCAGGAGGUGGCCACCACAGAAGAAAACAACGGCCACCCGACCGUGACGCUGCUCACUCACACCAGCACGCAGAUCGACUUGAAAACAGACCCGAAAAACUCGAGCGCGAUCCCACAGACAGACGAGAAUGACACGAAACGGUUGACGGCUCAAAAUGACACAAACUCACAGGACAAAUGUGUCGACGUCAAUGGGAAGUCAGGCUGUGUGAUCGCUGUGGAGGAGCAGAAACAAACAGAAAGGACAGAAGAAAAUAAUAAGAACAUCUCCUGAAGGUUUCAGGACGACGACUGAUUUAAAUCUGUUUACAUCCUGUUUCAAUCUAAACUCAUAGAAACCGUCUGUUUACAUUUCCUGUUUGCACAAACCAGGGACGUACGGAGAAGGGGGGGUCUCUGCAGUACAUGUUGUCUUAUGAGUGGAGAUGGCCUUACUCGUGACUGGCAGAGACGGCACUACUCGUGAUUGGCAGAGGUCUUGAUGUGGGCGGAGACGGCCCUACUCGUGAUUGGCGGAGGUCUUGAUGUGGGCGGAGACGGCCCUACUCGUGAUUGGCAGAGGUCUCGAUGUGGGCGGAGACGGCCCUACUCGUGAUUGGCAGAGACGUCCCUACUUGUGAUUGGCAGAGACGGCCCUACUUGUGAUUGGCAGAGGUCUCAAUGUGGGCGGAGACGGCCCUACUCGUGAUUGGCAGAGGUCUCGAUGUGGGCGGAGACGGCCCUACUCGUGAUUGGCAGAGACGUCCCUACUUGUGAUUGGCAGAGACGGCCCUACUUGUGAUUGGCAGAGGUCUCAAUGUGGGCGGAGACGGCCCUACUCGUGAUUGGCAGAGGUCUCGAUGUGGGCGGAGACGGCCCUACUCCUGAUUGGCAGAGACGGCCCUACUCGUGAUUGGCAGAGACGGCCCAACUCGUGAUUGGCAGAGACGGCCCCACUCGUGAUUGGCAGAGACGGCCCUACUCAUGAUUAGCAGAGACGGCCCUACUCAUGAUUGGCAGAGGUCUCGAUGUGGGUGGAGACGGCCCUACUCAUGAUUGGCAGAGGUCUCGAUGUGGGUGGAGACGGCCCUACUCGUGAUUGGCAGAGACGGCCCCACUCGUGAUUGGCAGAGACGGCCCUACUCGUGAUUGGCAGAGGUCUCGAUGUGGGUGGAGACGGCCCUACUCGUGAUUGGCAGAGGUCAAUCGCGAGUGGGGCCAUCUCCGUCCACAAGAUAUCAUGUACUGCAGAGACCCCUACUUGGUCGUAGAAAGAGUUAUGCAAAUGAUAAAUGAUAGUGAGCAGCUGCUGAGCUGUGACUGGUGGAACAAAGUUCUGCUGGAUACUGAAUGGCUGUCAGAGUAUGACAUCAUCUGUAAAAAGCAGCCUUUGUCUCUUCUCUGUUUCUAUUUGUGCCUGAUGAUGGCGAGGUGCAGCUCUGUCAAAUGAGCUGUUCUUUGUUACAACUCCAACAUGCCCUGAAAGUUUCAUGAAAAUCUGUAACUUUUUGACAAACUAACUUUACCGAAAAUUAACCGAGUAAUAAAAUAAAAAAUAAAUAGUUAUAUUUAUCCAGUGCUUUGUCCUUUUAACCAAUUUUCCAUUUAACCUAAACAAUUUAGAAAUUUUCUUUAAUUCAAAAUUGCAGAAUUUUCUCAUUUCCUCUUCAAACACAAGGAUGACACGCCAUCUUGGAUUGCGAAAUCCUGAACAAACUGCUGGUAUGUCAGGCAGUGAGAGCAUGUUACUGUGUCUGUAUGUCAGUAAAAUGUUUCAAAUGCUUUCAUUAUGUCCUGACUUUUCAGCUGAUUUAUGUAAUAUAUGUGUUUAAUGUGUUUUGUGUCACAAAACAGCGAGUCUCGAGGAGAGGCUGGCAGUUCUCCUGUUGCACAGUAGAUGGCGCUCGUGAGCUCAAAAAGUCUUUUUAUUACUUCGCACAGGCGCAGAGGAAGUAACAACAAGCUAGCUGCUAGCAAGUGAUGUCCAGAAAAGUAACUGCUUUUGUAUUUAUCUGUCUUUUUACUACUUAUGACAGUGUCUGGACUCAGAUGGGAUAUUAUGAGCUGUGCAUGGACUUCAUUUAUAAGUAAAGGUAGGACAUCACUUUAUUUUAAUGAAACUAGUUUUUGAAUGAUGGACUCAGAAAGUCCUCAGAAGCCACGAAUCUGACUUGACGUCACUGGGAAAUAAAAACAUGAUGUGAUAACUUUAAUAUAAAAGUCAAAAUGUAAAAAACUGAGCAAAAAGGGA